AUUGAACGCUGGCGGCAGGCUUAACACAUGCAAGUCGAACGGAACCUUCGGGUUUAGUGGCGAACGGGUGAGUAAUGCCUAGGAAUCUGCCUAUUAGUGGGGGAUAACGGCUCGAAAGGGUCGCUAAUACCGCAUACGUCCUACGGGAGAAAGAGGGGGACUUGUUUACAAGCCUCUUGCUAAUAGAUGAGCCUAGGUCGGAUUAGCUAGUUGGUAGGGUAAAGGCCUACCAAGGCGACGAUCUGUAGCUGGUCUGAGAGGAUGGCCAGCCACACUGGAACUGAGACACGGUCCAGACUCCUACGGGAGGCAGCAGUGGGGAAUAUUGGACAAUGGGGGAAACCCUGAUCCAGCAAUACCGCGUGUGUGAAGAAGGCCUGCGGGUUGUAAAGCACUUUCAGUUGGGAAGAUAAUGACGUUACCAACAGAAGAAGCACCGGCUAACU
rnacentral:rRNA from 1 species